rnacentral:lncRNA from 1 species
GGUGCAUAUUGGGUAAGCUUUCGGACUGACACAAUAACCUAUAAAUUACGUUAGUCAGGUAAAUCGUAUUAGGUAAGCCCAGUGUGAUAGAUUCAAUCGAGAAAUUGUUGAGGGGAAGAAUCGAAGACGUGACUAAAUGUUAACGCCUUGACCCAUGAGGACCGUCUCUUUCUAUUUCUAAUUCUGCAGACAAAGAGAUACUAAUUUACGGGACAAUUUAAUGUUAUAAGUUCCUCUAUACCGAAAUUUUUACUGGAUUUUUACAUAUUUCUUCUCUCUUUAAGUGUUCAGAAUCACGAGUCAAAAUGGUCACCGAUGACUCUGCUUCUUCACCGCUUAUUCCUCCUUAUCCGAUCGUCAAGCCCUCGGAGAUUGACUUGGAGUCGGGGCCGGACGAGCAAAUUCAGUGCCGUAUCUGCUUUGAAACUAAAGGUAAUCUUGUUGUCUAAUUCCAAUUUAUUUUUUAUUUUUACUUAUUCUCAGUUUAUAAAGUUUUCUGUCUGCAAUUUUCUUCUUAAUUACAUGCGAAAAUAAAAAGUAAAGAAUCAUGGGUUUUUAUGAUAAUUUGUGAACGACUUUGAUAUCCCCAUAAUUUGUGUCACCCUUUAGCAAAUGACUUCAGCAGCCAUUUUUGACUUUCUCUACGUUUGACUCAAUAUUUGCA